rnacentral:tRNA from 2 species
GCGCGAUUAGCUCAGUGGCAGAGCGUUCCGUUCACAUCGGAAAGGCCGCUGGUUCGAUCCCAGCAUCGCGCA